UACGGAGGGUGCAAGCGUUAUCCGGAUUCACUGGGUUUAAAGGGUGCGUAGGUGGGUAAGUAAGUCAGUGGUGAAAUCUCCGGGCUUAACCCGGAAACUGCCAUGGAUACUAUUUGUCUUGAAUAUUGUGGAGGUAAGCGGAAUAUGUCAUGUAGCGGUGAAAUGCUUAGAUAUGACAUAGAACACCAAUUGCGAAGGCAGCUUACUACACAGUUAUUGACGCUGAGGCACGAAAGCGUGGGGAUCAAACAGG
rnacentral:rRNA from 1 species